rnacentral:lncRNA from 1 species
AUGUCCUCUACUUUUAUGGUUGACACAGGAACCCAGCUAGAAAGAUUACAGAAAAUUGGGGGAAGUAUAGCAGCAGACUGCAGCCAUUGCCUUGAUAUAUUCAGUACCAUGGGACCAGUGCAUUUCUGGAAGUGAUGGAAGUUGGAAAUCUUGGUCCUGCAGAAUCUAGAGCUUCAAAGUGGAAAACUUGUAUGCUCCUUCUUCAGAACAGGUAAACUAAACACACCUGAAUUCCAUCCCCAAAAGUACACUGAACACUGUUCUCCAAAUGCUGCUCAUUACUUAUAGUAGUAGGAUUCAACUUUAAAUACCUCCCAUGAAAACCCUGUUUUAUCAUGUUCAGCUGUGAUUCCUUUCCUUCACUGCUCUUGUUUUAUUAUUUAACCUGCAUUUUCUUGGAGCAGCUUAAAC